rnacentral:rRNA from 1 species
UCUUUCAGCAGGGAAGAAGCGCAAGUGACGGUACCUGCAGAAGAAGCACCGGCUAACUACGUGCCAGCAGCCGCGGUAAUACGUAGGGUGCGAGCGUUGUCCGGAAUUAUUGGGCGUAAAGAGCUCGUAGGCGGCCUGUCGCGUCGGAUGUGAAAGCCCGGGGCUUAACCCCGGGUCUGCAUUCGAUACGGGCAGGCUAGAGUGUGGUAGGGGAGAUCGGAAUUCCUGGUGUAGCGGUGAAAUGCGCAGAUAUCAGGAGGAACACCGGUGGCGAAGGCGGAUCUCUGGGCCAUUACUGACGCUGAGGAGCGAAAGCGUGGGGAGCGAACAGGAUUAGAUACCCUGGUAGUCCACGCCGUAAACGUUGGGAACUAGGUGUUGGCGACAUUCCACGUCGUCGGUGCCGCAGCUAACGCAUUAAGUUCCCCGCCUGGGGAGUACGGCCGCAAGGCUAAAACUCAAAGGAAUUGACGGGGGCCCGCACAAGCAGCGGAGCAUGUGGCUUAAUUCGACGCAACGCGAAGAACCUUACCAAGGCUUGACAUAUGCCGGAAACGGCCAGAGAUGGUCGCCCCCUUGUGGUCGGUAUACAGGUGGU